rnacentral:lncRNA from 1 species
CAGACCAGAAGCGGCACAUCCACGGCACUUCUGUUCAGUCUCCUGGGAAGGACUAGUUACAUAGCUCUAGCCUGACAACAAAGGGAGCUGAGAAAUAUAGCGAGGCCUAUGGAAUACCGGGGGUUGUCUCAUCACUGCUUCCAACACUGCAGGGCACAGCAACAGGGGAUAAUUCGUCCUUUGCUACCCAUGGAGGAAGGAAGAAGGAUUCUCAGUCCUGGAGCAGGCCCUCAACACCUUCUUCCAGAACUAUGUGAGCACAUGGCUAACACAUUACAGAAUCAGUUUCCAGGAGUAUAAAAUGUGCCGGGCACUUUUAAAAUUUAAGUUAUUUGCAAUAAUGGGUCCUGCAGAAAGGUAAAAGGAAUAAAAC